rnacentral:rRNA from 1 species
CACGGGGGGAGCAAGCGUUGUUCGGAAUCACUGGGCGUAAAGGGCGUGUAGGCGGUUAGGCAAGUGGAAUGUGAAAUCCCCCGGCUUACCCGGGGAACGGCAUCCCAAACUGCCUGACUUGAGUACGGGAGAGGAUGAGGGAAUUCCUGGUGUAGCGGUGAAAUGCGUAGAUAUCAGGAGGAACACCGGUGGCGAAGGCGCUCAUCUGGCCCGAUACUGACGCUGAGGCGCGAAAGCUAGGGGAGCAAACGGG